GACGAACGCUGGCGGCGUGCUUAACACAUGCAAGUCGAACGGAAAGGCCCUGCUUUUGUGGGGUGCUCGAGUGGCGAACGGGUGAGUAACACGUGAGUAACCUGCCCUUGACUUUGGGAUAACUUCAGGAAACUGGGGCUAAUACCGGAUAGGAGCUCCUGCUGCAUGGUGGGGGUUGGAAAGGUUCGGCGGUUGGGGAUGGACUCGCGGCUUAUCAGCUUGUUGGUGGGGUAGUGGCUUACCAAGGCUUUGACGGGUAGCCGGCCUGAGAGGGUGACCGGCCACAUUGGGACUGAGAUACGGCCCAGACUCCUACGGGAGGCAGCAGUGGGGAAUAUUGCACAAUGGGCGGAAGCCUGAUGCAGCAACGCCGCGUGCGGGAUGACGGCCUUCGGGUUGUAAACCGCUUUCGCCUGUGACGAAGCGUGAGUGACGGUAAUGGGUAAACAAGCACCGGCUAACUACGUG
rnacentral:rRNA from 1 species